rnacentral:tRNA from 1 species
GCGCGGGUGGCGAAACAGUAGACGCACUACCUUGAGGUGGUAGCGCCCGUUAGGGUGUGGAGGUGCGAAUCCUCUCCCGCGCA